rnacentral:rRNA from 1 species
GAGUGUGUUAUAGUCUUUUGUCAUAUCCAGCGCUCGGGACUGAGGAACUCUGCACGAUCUACUUUUGUGCAUAGGUUGCUGGCAUAAUGGCCUUAAGCGACCCGUCUUGAAACACGGACCAAGGAGUCUAACAUGCCUGCGAGUGUUUGGGUGAUAAACUCGAGUGCGAAAUGAAAGUGAAAGUUGACACCUCUGUCAUGGAGGGCAUCGACGCCCGGACCAAAGUCUACUGACAAUGGAUCUGAGGUAGAGCAUGCAUGUUGGGACCCGAAAGAUGGUGAACUAUGCCUGAAUAGGGUGAAGCCAGAGGAAACUCUGGUGGAGGCUCGUAGCGAUUCUGACGUGCAAAUCGAUCGUCAAA